GACGAACGCUGGCGGCGUGCUUAACACAUGCAAGUCGAACGGUAAGGCCCUUCGGGGUACACGAGUGGCGAACGGGUGAGUAACACGUGGGUGAUCUGCCCUGCACUUCGGGAUAAGCCUGGGAAACUGGGUCUAAUACCGGAUAGGACUCCGGACUGCAUGGCGUGGGGUGGAAAGCUUUUGCGGUGUGGGAUGGGCCCGCGGCCUAUCAGCUUGUUGGUGGGGUGAUGGCCUACCAAGGCGACGACGGGUAGCCGGCCUGAGAGGGUGACCGGCCACGCUGGGACUGAGAUACGGCCCAGACUCCUACGGGAGGCAGCAGUGGGGAAUAUUGCACAAUGGGCGCAAGCCUGAUGCAGCGACGCCGCGUGAGGGAUGACGGCCUUCGGGUUGUAAACCCCUUUCAGCAUCGACGAAGCGAAAGUGACGGUAGGUGCAGAAGAAGGACCGGCCAACUACGUGCCAGCAGCCGCGGUAA
rnacentral:rRNA from 1 species